rnacentral:rRNA from 1 species
UACCCGCAGCACAAGUGGUGGUCAUUAUUAUUGGGCCUAAAGCGUCCGUAGCUGGCCUGUUAGAUGCCUGGGUAAAUCGAAUCGCUCAACGGUUCGAAUUCCGGGUAGACCGGCAGGCUUGGGACCGGGAGAGGUGUAGGCUACUCGGGGGGUAGGGGUAAAAUCCUGUAAUCCUCCGGGGAGGACCAGUGGCGAAGGCGCUACACUAGAACGGCUCUGACAGUGAGGGACGAAGCCCUGGGGCGCAAACCGG